rnacentral:misc_RNA from 1 species
AUGGUGCAUUAUCUGAAUUUCCCUCCUAACAUCCUCAACAUCCUCAUGCGCAGUCAACUUCCUCUUGGCAAUGGAUUUGCAUGCAAACUCUUUCCCAGUUGCCUUCUCAAUGCAGAGAAACGUUGUCCCAAAUUGCCCUUGUCCAAGCUUUCUCCCCAAGCUAUAAAUCUCCUUUAAAUUCCCAGUUUUCCUUCCUAACACCGAGUCCGUCUGAAGGCCAGCGCUCGUACUUCUCUUCACAUUAUUGGGUUUCUUGGGCUUUGGAUCCUCCGCAGGCUUAUUGAUCGCCACAUCACUCAUCUCAGGCUUAAUCGAUUUUUCAUGGUCCAUCACUUUAGGUAGUGUUUGAUUGGGGAUCUCAACAGUUUCAGGUGGGGUAUUUUGAAUCGAGGCAUUGUCUUUGUCCGAUCCUUUCUUAGAACCCUCAGAUUUUUUUGAUUCAUCACCAUUGCUGCUGUUUUCUUCUUUGGAAGGAGGCGGCAGCCUGUCCUCCGGUGGCCGCGUACGCCAAACAGCAGCAGUAACAGAUUGUAAGAAUCCAUUAGAACUAAGAUUGGGUCCUACACAAUUGUUCCCCAUCAAAAUACAAACUCAAUCUCAAGUCCUUAUUAGCUCUCUUCCCUGAAAUGUAGGUUCCAAAUUAUCCAGAUUACUGGUCCCUAAUAAUCCCAUCAAUAGAAACCAAUUUGGCUCCAAACAACAACAACUGUUAGAAAACCCUAAUAUGCAACCUUUCUCCUCUAAAUGCACUCUCCCAAAUCAAUCAACGAUAUCAAAACUCCAAAUUUUAUGCUAAUUCAACGGAGAUUUGCUCAUAAAUAUUGUAAUUUAUAAUGAAUCUGAUUUGAAAUUAAAUAACUAUAAACAUUUAAAGAAUUGGAAUCCAAUCUGAUAAUUUACAAACUAGAAGCAGAGUUAGAGAGAUGAAAAGCAUGGAAUUAUUUACUCGUUCAAAAAUGGAGAUCAAAGAAACGAGAGAGAAUCUGAGAGAAAAUUUCCCCAAA